AGUGGAGCCUGCGGCUUAAUUUGACUCAACACGGGAAACCUCACCAGGCCCGGACACCGGAAGGAUUGACAGAUUGAGAGCUCUUUCUUGAUUCGGUGGGUGGUGGUGCAUGGCCGUUCUUAGUUGGUGGAGCGAUUUGUCUGGUUAAUUCCGAUAACGAACGAGACUCUAGCCUGCUAACUAGGCGUAUUUCGACAUCCCAAAGGCCCGCCGGUUCGGGGUUUCGGCUCCUUAUCGCGCGCGGUUUUUACUGUCGGCGUACAAACAAUUCUUCUUAGAGGGACAGGCGGCAUUUAGCCGCACGAGAUUGAACAAUAACAGGUCUGUGAUGCCCUUAGAUGUUCUGGGCCG
rnacentral:rRNA from 1 species